GAUGAAGAACGCAGCAAAAUGCGAUAAGUAAUGUGAAUUGCAGAAUUCAGUGAAUCAUCGAAUCUUUGAACGCACAUUGCGCCCGCCAGUAUUCAGGCGGGCAUGCCUGUUCGAGCGUCAUUUCAACCAUCAAGCCCCAGGCUUGUGUUGGGGACCUGCGGCUGCCGCAGGCCCUGAAAACCAGUGGCGGGCUCGCUAGUCACACCGAGCGUAGUAGCAUACACAUCGCUCAGGGCGUGCUGCGGGUUCCGGCCGUUAAACCCCUUUUUUACCCAAGGUUGACCUCGGAUCAGGUAGGAAGACCCGCUGAACUUAAGCAUAUCAAUAAGCGGAGGA
rnacentral:misc_RNA from 1 species